rnacentral:rRNA from 1 species
UACGUAGGGGGCUAGCGUUGUCCGGAUUUAUUGGGCGUAAAGAGCGUGUAGGCGGCCAGAUAGGUCUGCUGUGAAAACUCGAGGCUCAACCUCGAGAUGUCGGCGGAAACCAUUUGGCUAGAGUCCGGAAGAGGAAAGUGGAAUUCCUGGUGUAGCGGUGAAAUGCGCAGAUAUCAGGAAGAACACCCGUGGCGAAGGCGGCUUUCUGGGACGGUACUGACGCUGAGACGCGAAAGCGUGGGUAGCAAACAGG